AGUUGUGUUUGAAUGUUUGUGGCCCCAUGGACUCCAGCAUCUCAGGCUUCCUUGUACCCUAUAUAUACUGCAGCACAAUAAAGCAAGGUAUCAGCCAUUUUGGGGCUGAUCCUCUCAACCCCAUCUUUUGUCUCUCUCUUAUUUUCUUAGCGGGGACGCUCCGUUCUCUCCCUGUGCAGGUGCGACUCUUGCUUGUGCUGGCCGCGGCAGUCUUGUCCGAAUCCUUGCGAUGCCAUGGACUGCAGCACAUCAGACCUCUCUGUCCAUCACCAACUCCCAGAGUAUACACAAACCAAUGACUAUUGAGUUGGUGAUGAUAUCCAACUAUCUCAUUCUCUGUCUUCC
rnacentral:lncRNA from 1 species